UUGCCAGACUCCUACGGGAGGCAGCAGUAGGGAAUCUUUCACAAUGGGCGAAAGCCUGAUGGAGCAACGCCGCGUGCAGGAUGAAGGCCUUCGGGUUGUAAACUGCUUUUAUAAGCGAGAAAUAUGAUGGUAACUUAUGAAUAAGGAUCGGCUAACUACGUGCCAGCAGCCGCGGUCAUACGUAGGGAGCGAGCGUUGUCCGGAAUUACUGGGUGUAAAGGGAGCGUAGGCGGGGAUGUAAGUUGGGUGUCAAAACUACCGGCUCAACUGGUAGUCGCACUCAAAACUGCAGCUCUUGAGUGAAGUAGAGGCAGGCGGAAUUCCUAGUGUAGCGGUGAAAUGCGUAGAUAUUAGGAGGAACACCAGUGGCGAAGGCGGCCUGCUGGGCUUUUACUGACGCUGAGGCUCGAAAGUGUGGGGAGCAAACAGGAUUAGAUACCCUAGUA
rnacentral:rRNA from 1 species